rnacentral:rRNA from 1 species
GUUCUUUAAACCUAAAGAAUUUGGCGGUAUUUUAGUCUAUUUAGAGGAACCUGCUUUGUAAUCGAUAAUCCUCGUUUUAUCUUUCUUUAUCUUGUUUAGUAUGUAUAUCGCUGUUAUAAGUUUAUUUUAUUAGAAUUUAAAUUUACUUAAUUUUUAAUUUAAAAUUAUUUCAAGUCAAGGUGCAGUUUAUGGUUAAGUUUUAGUGGGUUACAAUAUUUUUAGUAUAUGAAUUUAAUAUUUAAAAUUUUAAUGAAAGUGGAUUUAAUAGUAAUUUUAUUAAUAGAGGUAUUUUGAUUUUAGCUCUAAAAUAAGUACACAUCGCCCG